ACAUCGCCUCUUGAUCAAUUAUAAGAGGUCAAGCCUGCCCAGUGACAUUGUUCAACGGCCGCGGUAUCCUAACCGUGCGAAGGUAGCGUAAUCACUUGUCCUUUAAAUAAGGACUAGUAUGAACGGCUUCACGAAGGCUAUACUGUCUCCUUAAUCUAAUCAAUUAAACUAAUCUCCCCGUGAAGAAGCGGGGAUUCAUCUAUAAGACGAGAAGACCCUAUGGAGCUUUAAACAUCUAAGACACUUGAUUUUUACCUACUAAACUUCAUGCAACCUAUCCUUUUGUCUUAAGUUUUAGGUUGGGGUGACCACGGAGAAAAAUUAAACCUCCACGUAGAAAGAAAAUUCUUUUCUAAGCAAAAAGCCACAUCUUAACGCAUCAAUAUAUUGACUUAACUUGA
rnacentral:rRNA from 1 species